GACGAACGCUGGCGGCGUGCUUAACACAUGCAAGUCGAACGGAAAGGCCCUGCUUUUGUGGGGUGCUCGAGUGGCGAACGGGGGAGUAACACGUGAGUAACCUGCCCUUGACUUUGGGAUAACUUCAGGAAACUGGGGUUACUACCGGAUAGGAGCUCCUGCUGCAUGGAGGGGGUUGGAAAGUUUCGGCGGUUGGGGAUGGACUCGCGGCUUAUCAGCUUGUUGGUGGGGUAGUGGCUUACCAAGGCUUUGACGGGUAGCCGGCCUGAGAGGGUGACCGGCCACAUUGGGACUGCGAUACGGCCCAGACUCCUACGGGAGGCAGCAGUGGGGAAUCUUGCACAGUGGGCGGACGCCUGAUGCAGCAACGCCGCGUGCGGGAUGACGGCCUUCGGGGUGUAAACCGCUUUCGCCUGUGACGAAGCGUGAGUGACGGUAAUGGGUAAAGAAGCACCGGCUAACUACGUG
rnacentral:rRNA from 1 species